rnacentral:rRNA from 1 species
CAGCCGCCGCGGUAAAACCAGCACCUCAAGUGGUCAGGAGGAUUAUUGGGCCUAAAGCAUCCGUAGCCGGUUCUGUAAGUUUCCGGUUAAAUCCACUAGCUCAACUAAUGGGCUGCCGGAAAUACUGCAGAACUAGGGAGUGGGAGAGGUAGACGGUACUCGGUAGGAAGGGGUAAAAUCCUUUGAUCUAUUGAUGACCACCUGUGGCGAAGGCGGUCUACCAGAACACGUUCGACGGUGAGGGAUGAAAGCUGGGGGAGCAAACCGGAUUAGAUACCCGGGUAGUCCCAGCUGUAAACUAUGCAAACUCAGUGAUGCAUUGGCUUAUGGCCAAUGCAGUGCUGCAGGGAAGCCGUUAAGUUUGCCGCCUGGGAAGUACGUACGCAAGUAUGAAACUUAAAGGAAUUGGCGGGGGAGCACCA